rnacentral:rRNA from 1 species
GGAAGUAAAAGUCGUAACAAGGUUUCCGUAGGUGAACCUGCGGAAGGAUCAUUACUGAUUUAGCGAACCGAGCAUUAGCGAGGUUUUGCGAUCAAAUUAUAUUUAAAACCCACUCUUUAAUGUAUAAAAUUUGUAUUAUGAUAAAUUAAAAGAUCACUUUCAACAACGGAUCUCUUGGCUCUCGCAUCGAUGAAGAACGUAGCGAAGUGCGAUAAGUAAUGUGAAUUGCAGUAUUCCGUGGAUCAUCGAAUCUUUGAACGCAUAUUGCACUUUCUGGUAUUCCGGAAAGUAUGCCUGUUUGAGGGUCAGUUAAAUAAAAAUCGGUGUUGUUGCUGCCUUUCGUGGUGACGCGUCGGAAUUGAGUUGUCUUACCCUUCGGUUAAGUGACUUAAAAUUUUGCAUGAUCUUCGAACGUAUUUAAAUUGCUUACGUACGUUUGAGAUAUCGAAUGUUUAUUAGGUUCGGUCAUUCUAAUGACUCGCGCCUAUAGUUUUUCAUUAAAUGACCUCAAAUCAGGUAAGAAUACCCGCUGAACUUAAGCAUAUCAAUAAGCGGAGGA